ensembl:sense_intronic Gm26638 predicted gene, 26638
GUGCCUGUCCUGUGCUUGACAUUGGAUGGGGAGGGAAGGAAGACACGGUAAUGCCUCUUAUUCUUACCUUGUUUAGAACAAAAGAAAGAAAAGUCCUGGCUCAGUGGUUCCAGGCAUCGGUGGCACACUGCCUGUCAGAUCUGGACUGCUUAGCCUGGUGAGUGAGUUCAUGAUGUUUGACAUGCUAUAAAGUUGCAGGGGAAACCUACUUGAAGUAUCUCAGUGUUCAACAACUGGGCCAUGUGGCUAUAUGGAAGAUGGUGUGCGCAGGGGGUGAUGUGCAUUGGCCCCAUGGCACUACCUCUCGCAGCUGUCAGAACUACUGCAGGCUAGUCAGUGGUGACACGACUCUUUAAAAGUCACAGUAUCAUCUCUUACUUCAGAAAAUAGGGCCUUGGAAAAAUAUUUGCUCUGGAUGCGUUUCUCACUCCCCACAANNNNNNNNNNNNNNNNNNNNNNNNNNNNNNNNNNNNNNNNNNNNNNNNNNNNNNNNNNNNNNNNNNNNGUGUGUGUGUGUGUGUGUGUGUGUGUGUGUGUUAGGGUUUCUAUUGCUGUGAUAAAACACCAUAACCAAAAUAAACUUGGGAAAGAAUAGAUUUAUUUCAGCUUAUAGUUCUGCUUCACAGUUUAUCAUCAAAGAAAUCAGGGCAGGAACUUAAGCAGGGCAGAAACCUGGACACAGGAACUUAAGCAGAAGCCAUAGAGGUAUGCUGCUUACUGGCUUGCUCAUCAUGGCUUGCUCAGCCUGCCUUCUUAUAGAACCCAGGACCCCCAGCCAUAGCUUGGCACAGCCUAUAGAGAGCUGGGCCCUCUCGAAUCAAUCACUAAUCAAGAAAAUGCCCUACACGUUUGCCUACAAUCCAUCCAAUGGAGGCAGUUUCUUGGUUAAGAUUCCUUCUUCUCAGAUGAUCCUCAUUUGUGUCAAGUUGACAUAAAAACUAUCCAGUUCUCUCUCUCUCUCUCUCUCUCUCUCUCUCUCUCUCUCUCUCUCUCUCUCUCUCUCUCUCUCUCUCUCUCUCUGUAGAGAGACAGAGACAGAGACAGAGACAGAGAGAGACAGAGUCUUAAUGUUACUCUUUUAAUGACAGUUUAUGAUUAACUUUUCCCAUUAAUAACCCCCAAACUUUAUUGGGUUAACGGAACAAUUACUCAUUCAGCUCACAAACUUCUGAGUUGACAUUGUGCGCUGGACUCAGAUGGGUGGCUUUCCUUUGUCAAUGGUUCGCUCUAUGUCAGAUGGGCGUGGCUUGGGGUUAGCUGGUUCAGAUUGGCCUCUGCUGCAAUGGCUGCCCUCCAAGCUCCAGUUUGGCCCAGGCUCAUGUACAUGUUUGCCUAGCACAGUUCUGAGAAGAACUGCAGUGUGCAAGGUGUGAGUGUGCAAGAACAAGGCCACAUUUACUGUGUUCCACGGCUCAAGUAAAUUCGUGUUAGUCUAAUCCAAAAGGAUGGAAAAUUAGGCUCUACCCUCCAGUAAGAAGAGCUUCAAAGUCACCAUUAAAGGAGUGUAGCUACAAGGCAAAAUAGAACAUAUUUGAUAAGAAAUGCCCAGAGAUUGGCAUCAGCUCACCUUUUCACUUCUAUCUAUGGGUCUGCUUUGCUUUUCCUUUUCAUAUUAUUAAUAUCUUUCAUUCUUGAUAUUUGGUAUACUCAGUACUAUACGACUUAGGGGCAUUGUCAUGCAAGCGUAUAUUAAACAUUGAGCCCAUGGCAGCCUAGCUUCCCACACUGCCUUUCACAGCCCAAUCCUCCUUGUUAGUCAGUCCCUUUUGCUUCUAUAGGCAGUUUUGUGUCUACUUUCGUGUUACAUGCACAUACAUCAUAUCAUUUUCUUC